GCCUGCCUCGUCUUCUCAAAGUGCUGGGAUUCCGGGCGUGGCCACUGCGCCUGGCUGAUGCGUUGUUCCUGCAUUUGCCCACCGACUCUCUGUGUUUGGCUGUAACCACGUUGCACGCUCAGUCAGUCGCUUGCUGCUCACAGAGUCCAGAGUCCCGAGGGACAGAGAAGCUGCCUUUCACCCUGUCUGGCCACUUUCCCCGAGGGGCAUCCUUUGGAGGGUCUGGACUUUGCAGCCUUGCCUCCCGCGCCUUUGGGCAUGGCACCCUCCUGGACAGCGCUGAGGUCUCCUCACACACUCAUGUGCGUGUGCUCCACGGCUGUUCCUGGGUGUUUGUGGGGAGAUUUGUCAGGUGCUGGGAGCCUUUUGUUUCGGUAAGCUUUCAAAUCGCCGGAGCAAGUGCUUUCAAAGCUGCGCGGCAGCCUCAGGAUGUUGCUCCUGGAGCCCCGUGGAGAGCACACCAUCCACAUCGCAGGGACGAGAACAGCGCGGCCCACGCUCUCGGCUUGCAGCCUCCCUGGGCCUCUGGGGGCG
rnacentral:lncRNA from 10 species